ACAGGUCCAGCGUCUACCAUUUCUUCACAGCUCAAACAUGGCAAUGGAUAUUUUGAGGGGAAAUGAUGAAUGCAUUGGUUUUGAGGAUAUCCUUAAUGAUCCUUCCCAGAGUGAGAUUAUGGGAGAACCACACAUCAUGAUGGAGCACAAGCUCGGUUUAUUGUAACAAAAUAUACUUCACAAAAAUGUUUUGUGUGUCUUUCUAGCGCAGAUCUAAGUACAUGGUACUAAAUUGACACUCACGGUGUUAAGCAGACCUAGUUAUCACUUGCCUUCCUUAAUGAAAAGGCACAUUAAAUGUUCAAAGUCCAUAAACUGUUCUGUGCUUGUUAUCAAUCAUAUAAAUGUCCUGUAACUAGGUAGUUUAAAUAAUGCCUUUUCAUAAACUGCUCAGGACAAUAGCUUCUUAAAUAUGGAAAUGCUAUACAUGUAUACAAGAAAUUAAAAAAUACCCAGGCAUUUUAAAACUGACUACUGUGGUAAAUGCAUUUAAUGGGGGAAGAGGAAGGUAUUUUCCGUUGCAUAACUCUUUGUUCAUGAAAAUUUCCAUACACUUUUUAAACUAUUGAAUAAAAGUUUGCUAUAAAUGCUA